rfam:Alligator mississippiensis ScZkoYb_58, whole genome shotgun sequence.
CCUGCCACCAGGCUGUGCUCCAUGGGGCUGCAGAGCCCUAUGGAGCCCAGCCUGGUGGCAGGAAGCAGAGCGCACACCUGGCUCUGCCCACCUCCCACUGUUGGUCUGGCAGAAUCGAUCAGAGCACACCCU